GCAAGAAAUUUUAAGGGAAUCAAAAGAUUAAAAACCCCACAAGAAUUCACAAUUGAUGGACCUGUUUCUUUCAAUCUCUCAUCUGUAUAACCCAAAACGACUGAACAAAGAAUUGAAGAUAUAGUGGUCUGAAAAUGAAUAUCAGUAACUGAUAAUAUUCAUGAUACUAUAAAUUGGAAAAUUAAAAGAAAUGAAGUAUGAUAAAGAAGAACCCAAAAAAAAAGGACAAUAAUGAAAAAACCCACAAAGCAGCAGCAGCAGCAGCAGGAGGAAGAACAGAAGUGCCACUGCCUUUCAGAUCCUGCCUAACAUUUUUCAUGAAUCUCAACCCUAUACAUAUAUUUCGCUGAAAUCUAAUUCUCUUUCUACCAAUUUAUUCACAACUCAAAUAUCCAUAACAAUUAAAACAAAUAUGGAGAGACUUUCUCCUUCUGUCCCCCUUGUCUAUCUCCUCUUCUUCACUUCUCGAUCU